AAACCGGGAGAUAGCUGGUUCUCCCCGAAAGCUAUUUAGGUAGCGCCUCGUGAACUCAUCUUCGGGGGUAGAGCACUGUUUCGGCUAGGGGGUCAUCCCGACUUACCAACCCGAUGCAAACUACGAAUACCGAAGAAUGUUAUCACGGGAGACACACGGCGGGUGCUAACGUCCGUCGUGAAGAGGGAAACAACCCAGACCGCCAGCUAAGGUCCCAAAGUCAUGGUUAAGUGGGAAACGAUGUGGGAAGGCCCAGACAGCCAGGAUGUUGGCUUAGAAGCAGCCAUCAUUUAAAGAAAGCGUAAUAGCUCACUGGUCGAGUCGGCCUGCGCGGAAGAUGUAACGGGGCUAAACCAUGCACCGAAGCUGCGGCAGCGACACUAUGUGUUGUUGGGUAGGGGAGCGUUCUGUAAGCCGUUGAAGGUGGCCUGUGAGGGUUGCUGGAGGUAUCAGAAGUGCGAAUGCUGACAUAAGUAACGAUAAUGCGGGUGAAAAACCCGCACGCCGGAAGACCAAGGGUUCCUGUCCAACGUUAAUCGGGGCAGGGUGAGUCGACCCCUAAGGCGAGGCCGAAAGGCGUAGUCGAUGGGAAACAGGUUAAUAUUCCUGUACUCGGUGUUACUGCGAAGGGGGGACGGAGAAGGCUAUGUUGGCCGGGCGACGGUUGUCCCGGUUUAAGCAUGUAGGCGGAUGUUCCAGGUAAAUCCGGAAUGUUAUCAACGCUGAGGUGUGAUGACGAGGCACUACGGUGCUGAAGUGACAAAUGCCCUGCUUCCAGGAAAAGCCUCUAAGCAUCAGGUAACAUCAAAUCGUACCCCAAACCGACACAGGUGGUCAGGUAGAGAAUACCAAGGCGCUUGAGAGAACUCGGGUGAAGGAACUAGGCAAAAUGGUGCCGUAACUUCGGGAGAAGGCACGCUGAUAUGUAGGUGAAGUGGUUUACCCAUGGAGCUGAAAUCAGUCGAAGAUACCAGCUGGCUGCAACUGUUUAUUAAAAACACAGCACUGUGCAAACACGAAAGUGGACGUAUACGGUGUGACGCCUGCCCGGUGCCGGAAGGUUAAUUGAUGGGGUUAUCCGUAAGGAGAAGCUCUUGAUCGAAGCCCCGGUAAACGGCGGCCGUAACUAUAACGGUCCUAAGGUAGCGAAAUUCCUUGUCGGGUAAGUUCCGACCUGCACGAAUGGCGUAAUGAUGGCCAGGCUGUCUCCACCCGAGACUCAGUGAAAUUGAACUCGCUGUGAAGAUGCAGUGUACCCGCGGCAAGACGGAAAGACCCCGUGAACCUUUACUAUAGCUUGACACUGAACACUGGUCCUUGAUGUGUAGGAUAGGUGGGAGGCUUUGAAGUGUGGACGCCAGUCUGCAUGGAGCCAUCCUUGAAAUACCACCCUUUAAUGGCUGGUGUUCUAACGUGGGCCCCUAAUCGGGGUUGCGGACAGUGUCUGGUGGGUAGUUUGACUGGGGCGGUCUCCUCCUAAAGAGUAACGGAGGAGCACGAAGGUCAGCUAAUCCUGGUCGGACAUCAGGAGGUUAGUGCAAUGGCAUAAGCUGGCUUGACUGCGAGCGUGACGGCGCGAGCAGGUGCGAAAGCAGGUCAUAGUGAUCCGGUGGUUCUGAAUGGAAGGGCCAUCGCUCAACGGAUAAAAGGUACUCCGGGGAUAACAGGCUGAUACCGCCCAAGAGUUCAUAUCGACGGCGGUGUUUGGCACCUCGAUGUCGGCUCAUCACAUCCUGGGGCUGAAGUAGGUCCCAAGGGUAUGGCUGUUCGCCAUUUAAAGUGGUACGCGAGCUGGGUUUAGAACGUCGUGAGACAGUUCGGUCCCUAUCUGCCGUGGGCGCUGGAGAAUUGAGGGGGGCUGCUCCUAGUACGAGAGGACCGGAGUGGACGCAUCACUGGUGUUCGGGUUGUCAUGCCAAUGGCAUUGCCCGGUAGCUAAAUGCGGAAGAGAUAAGUGCUGAAAGCAUCUAAGCACGAAACUUGCCCCGAGAUGAGUUCUCCCUGACUCCUUGAGAGUCCUGAAGGAACGUUGAAGACGACGACGUUGAUAGGCCGGGUGUGUAAGCGCAGCGAUGCGUUGAGCUAACCGGUACUAAUGAACCGUGAGGCUUAACCUU
rnacentral:rRNA from 1 species